rnacentral:rRNA from 1 species
GACGAACGCUGGCGGCGUGCCUAAUACAUGCAAGUAGAACGCACAGUUUAUACCUUAGCUUGCUACACCAUAGACUGUGAGUUGCGAACGGGUGAGUAACGCGUAGGUAACCUGCCUGGUAGCGGGGGAUAACUAUUGGAAACGAUAGCUAAUACCGCAUAAUAUUGAUUAUUGCAUGAUAAUUGAUUGAAAGAUGCUAUUGCAUCACUACCAGAUGGACCUGCGUUGUAUUAGCUAGUAGGUGAGGUAACGGCUCACCUAGGCGACGAUACAUAGCCGACCUGAGAGGGUGAUCGGCCACACUGGGACUGAGACACGGCCCAGACUCCUACGGGAGGCAGCAGUAGGGAAUCUUCGGCAAUGGACGAAAGUCUGACCGAGCAACGCCGCGUGAGUGAAGAAGGUUUUCGGAUCGUAAAGCUCUGUUGUAAGAGAAGAACGGGUGUGAGAGUGGAAAGUUCACACUGUGACGGUAUCUUACCAGAAAGGGACGGCUAACUACGUG